UACAGAGGUCUCAAGCGUUGUUCGGAUUCAUUGGGCGUAAAGGGUGCGUAGGCGGCGCGGUAAGUCGGGUGUGAAAUUUCGAGGCUUAACUUCGAAACUGCAUUCGAUACUGCCGUGCUUAGAGGACUGGAGAGGAGACUGGAAUUUACGGUGUAGCGGUGAAAUGCGUAGAUAUCGUAAGGAAGACCAGUGGCGAAGGCGGGUCUCUGGACAGUUCCUGACGUGAGGCACGAAGGCAGGGGAGCAAACCGGG
rnacentral:rRNA from 1 species